rnacentral:lncRNA from 1 species
GAUGUGUGUGUUGUGUUUGAAGACUGUUCUGUUGUGGCUGAUGUUAUGGAAGCUGUUUCCUAUGCUGUUUGGAUGCUGAAGUUUUUAUUUUUUUUUUGAAAUAUGUGUAAUGUGUAGCAGUCCUUAUUGGUGCCAUUUUGUAAUAUUUUGAGCUCUUAAGGAGUUCCAUGGAUUUGUUCAUUAUCUCAGCUAUCAUAGCUGUGUAUGAUGAUGGUUUUAUCUCCUAACAAUUAUGUUUUAACAUUUUAAUGUUAUAACAUCUGAUCUGAC